AUUGAACGCUGGCGGCAUGCCUGACACAUGCAAGUCGAACGGCAGCACGGGAGCAAUCCUGGUGGCGAGUGGCGAACGGGUGAGUAAUAUAUGGGAACGUGCCCAGUAGUGGGGGAUAACGCAGCGAAAGCUGUGCUAAUACCGCAUACGCUCCAAGGAUGAAAGCGGGGGAUCGCAAGACCUCGCUCGAUUGGACCGGCCGCUAUCAGAUUAGCUAGUUGGUGGGGUAAAGGCCCACCAAGGCGACGAUCUGUAGCUGGUCUGCGAGGACGAUCCGCCACACUGGAACUGAGACACGGUCCCGACUCCUACGGGAGGCAGCAGUGGGGAAUUUUGGACAAUGGGCGCAAGCCUGAUCCAGCAAUGCCGCGUGCAGGAUGAAGGCCUUCGGGUUGUAAACUGCUUUUGUACGGAACGAAACGGCCCUUUCUAAUACAGGGGGCUAAUGACGGUACCGUAAGAAUAAGCACCGGCUAACUACGUGCCAGCCGCCGCCGUAAAAC
rnacentral:rRNA from 1 species